rnacentral:rRNA from 1 species
CAGCCGCCGCGGUAAUACAGAGGGUGCAAGCGUUGUUCGGAAUUAUUGGGCGUAAAGGGUGCGUAGGCGGUUUGACAAGUCUUAUGUGAAAUCUCUGGGCUCAACCCAGAGUCUGCAUGGGAAACUGUCGGGCUUGAGUAUGGGAGAGGUGAGUGGAAUUUCCGGUGUAGCGGUGAAAUGCGUAGAUAUCGGAAGGAACACCUGUGGCGAAAGCGGCUCACUGGACCAUAACUGACGCUGAUGCACGAAAGCUAGGGGAGCAAACAGGAUUAGAUACCCCCGUAGUCCCUGUCUCUUAUAC